rnacentral:rRNA from 1 species
UACGGGGGGGGCAAGCGUUGUUCGGAAUUACUGGGCGUAAAGGGCUCGUAGGCGGCCAACUAAGUCGAACGUGAAAUCCCCGGGCUCAACCCGGGAACUGCGUCCGAUACUGGCAGGCUUGAAUCCGGGAGAGGGAUGCGGAAUUCCAGGUGUAGCGGUGAAAUGCGUAGAUAUCUGGAGGAACACCGGUGGCGAAGGCGGCAUCCUGGACCGGCAUUGACGCUGAGGCGCGAAAGCCAGGGGAGCAAACGGG